rnacentral:rRNA from 1 species
UACAGAGGUCUCAAGCGUUGUUCGGAUUUACUGGGCGUAAAGGGCGCGUAGGCGGCCACCGCAAGUCAAUUGUGAAAUCUCCGGGCUUAACUCGGAAAGGUCAACUGAUACUGCGGGGCUAGAGUGCGGAAGGGGCAACUGGAAUUCUCGGUGUAGCGGUGAAAUGCGUAGAUAUCGAGAGGAACACCUGCGGCGAAGGCGGGUUGCUGGGCCGACACUGACGCUGAUGCGCGAAAGCGUGGGGAGCAAACAGG